AAUCAACGCUGGCGGCGUGCCUCAGACAUGCAAGUCGAACGAUUAAAGCUCUCUUCGGAGAGUGUAUAGAGUGGCGCACGGGUGAGUAACACGUAAGUAAUCUACCUUUGAGUGGGGAAUAACCCGGGGAACCCGAGCUAAUACCGCAUAAUGCAGCGGCACCGCAAGGUGACAGUUGUUAAAGGAGCAAUCCGCUUAAAGAGGAGCUUGCGGCAGAUUAGCAGUUGGUAAGGUAAUGGCUUACCAAGGCUUCGAUCUGUAUCCGGCCUGAGAGGGCGGUCGGACACACUGACACUGAAUAACGGGUCAGACUCCUACGGGAGGCAGCAGUCGGGAAUUUUGGGCAAUGGGCGAAAGCCUGACCCAGCAACGCCGCGUGAAGGAU
rnacentral:rRNA from 1 species